GCGAUCAUACCAGCACUAAUGCACCGGAUCCCAUCAGAACUCCGAAGUUAAGCGUGCUUGGGCGAGACCCCCUGGGAAGUCCUCGUGUUGCACCU
rnacentral:rRNA from 1 species